rnacentral:rRNA from 1 species
GACGACCGCUGGCGGCGUGCUUAACACAUGCAAGUCGAACGGAGUGGCGAACGGGUGAGUAACACGUGGGUGAUCUGCCUUGCACUUCGGGAUAAGCUUGGGAAACUGGGUCUAAUACCGGAUAGUGCAAGAUGAGCUCGCGGCCUAUCAGCUUGUUGGUGGGGUAAUGGCCUACCAAGGCGUCGACGGGUAGCCGGCCUGAGAGGGUGUACGGCCACAUUGGGACUGGGAGACGGCCCAGACUCCUACGGGGGUCAGCAGUGGGGAAUAUUGCACAAUGUGCGGAAGCAUGAUGUAGCGACGCAGCGUGGGGGAUGAAGGCCUUGGGAUUGUAAACUCCUUACGACAGGGACGGGGUACGGGUAUGAGAAGCACCGGCUAACUACGUGCCAGCAGCCGCGGUAAUAC